ACAGCAGUAGCCGCGGUAACACGUAGGGUGCGAGCGUUAAUCGGAAUUACUGGGCGUAAAGCGUGCGCAGGCGGUUUUGUAAGACAGGCGUGAAAUCCCCGGGCUCAACCUGGGAAUGGCGCUUGUGACUGCAAAGCUAGAGUGCGGCAGAGGGGGAUGGAAUUCCGCGUGUAGCAGUGAAAUGCGUAGAUAUGCGGAGGAACACCGAUGGCGAAGGCAGCCCCCUGGGCCAACACUGACGCUCAUGCACGAAAGCGUGGGGAGCAAACAGGAUUAGAUACCCCUGUAGUCCCUGUCUCUUAUAC
rnacentral:rRNA from 1 species